GAUUGAACGCUGGCGGCAUGCNUUACACAUGCAAGUCGAACGGUAACAGGUCUUCGGAUGCUGACGAGUGGCGAACGGGUGAGUAAUACAUCGGAACGUGCCCGAUCGUGGGGGAUAACGGAGCGAAAGCUUUGCUAAUACCGCAUACGAUCUACGGAUGAAAGCAGGGGACCGCAAGGCCUUGCGCGGACGGAGCGGCCGAUGGCAGAUUAGGUAGUUGGUGGGAUAAAAGCUUACCAAGCCGACGAUCUGUAGCUGGUCUGAGAGGACGACCAGCCACACUGGGACUGAGACACGGCCCAGACUCCUACGGGAGGCAGCAGUGGGGAAUUUUGGACAAUGGGCGAAAGCCUGAUCCAGCCAUGCCGCGUGCAGGAUGAAGGCCUUCGGGUUGUAAACUGCUUUUGUACGGAACGAAAAGACUCUGGUUAAUACCUGGGGUCCAUGACGGUACCGU
rnacentral:rRNA from 1 species